rnacentral:rRNA from 1 species
AUUGAACGCUGGCGGCAGGCCUAACACAUGCAAGUCGAACGAGUGGCGGACGGGUGAGUUCUGUCUGGGAAACUGACUGGUGGAGGGGGAUAACUACUGGAAACGGUAGCUAAUACCGCAUACCCUCAGAUGUGCCCAGAUGGGAUUAGCUAGUUGGUGGGGUAACGGCACACCAAGGAGACGAUCCCUAGCUGGUCUGAGAGGAUGACCAGCCACACUGGAACUGAGACACGGUCCAGACUCCUACGGGAGGCAGCAGUGGGGAAUAUUGCACAAUGGGCGCAAGCCUGAUGCAGCCAUGCCGCGUGUAUGAAGAAGGCCUUCGGGUUGUAAAGUACUUUCAGCGGGGAGGCGUUACCCGCAGAAGAAGCACCGGCUAACUCCGUGCCAGCAGCCGCGGUAAUUC